rnacentral:sRNA from 1 species
ACAGCCCAGAACCAGGACAAGGAGAGAACUGCUCGUUUCCAGGAGCAGACUUCCUACCGGGAGCACUGCAGUCGCUUCUGAACAGGAUAUUAUCAACUCACUGGUAACAACAGUAUUCAUGCUCAUCGUAUCUGUGUUGGCAUUGAUACCAGAAACCACAACAUUGACAGUUGGUGGAGGGGUGUUUGCACUUGUGACAGCAGUAUGCUGUCUUGCCGACGGGGCCCUUAUUUACCGGAAGCUUCUGUUCAAUCCCAGCGGUCCUUACCAGAAAAAGCCUGUGCAUGAAAAAAAAGAAGUUUUGUAAUUUUAUAUUACUUUUUAGUUUGAUACUAAGUAUUAAACAUAUUUCUGUAUUCUUCCAC